UUAACUCCAUUGCUUCCUUUCAG
rnacentral:piRNA from 1 species